AUACGGAGGAUCCGAGCGUUAUCCGGAUUUAUUGGGUUUAAAGGGAGCGUAGGUGGACAGUUAAGUCAGUUGUGAAAGUUUGCGGCUCAACCGUAAAAUUGCAGUUGAUACUGGCUGUCUUGAGUACAGUAGAGGUGGGCGGAAUUCGUGGUGUAGCGGGGAAAUGCUUAGAUAUCACGAAGAACUCCGAUUGCGAAGGCAGCUCACUGGACUGCAACUGACACUGAUGCUCGAAAGUGUGGGUAUCAAACAGGAUUAGAUACCCUGGUAGUCCACACAGUAAACGAUGAAUACUCGCUGUUUGCGAUAUACAGUAAGCGGCCAAGCGAAAGCAUUAAGUAUUCCACCUGGGGAGUACGCCGGCAACGGUGAAACUCAAAUGAAUUGGCGGGG
rnacentral:rRNA from 1 species